AGAGUUUGAUCCUGGCUCAGAUUGAACGCUGGCGGCAGGCCUAACACAUGCAAGUCGAACGGUAGCACAGAGGAGCUUGCUCCUUGGGUGACGAGUGGCGGACGGGUGAGUAAUGUCUGGGAAACUGCCCGAUGGAGGGGGAUAACUACUGGAAACGGUAGCUAAUACCGCAUAAUGUCGCAAGACCAAAGAGGGGGACCUUCGGGCCUCUUGCCAUCGGAUGUGCCCAGAUGGGAUUAGCUAGUAGGUGGGGUAACGGCUCACCUAGGCGACGAUCCCUAGCUGGUCUGAGAGGAUGACCAGCCACACUGGAACUGAGACACGGUCCAGACUCCUACGGGAGGCAGCAGUGGGGAAUAUUGCACAAUGGGCGCAAGCCUGAUGCAGCCAUGCCGCGUGUAUGAAGAAGGCCUUCGGGUUGUAAAGUACUUUCAGCGGGGAGGAAGGCGAUACGGUUAAUAACCAUGUCGAUUGACGUUACCCGCAGAAGAAGCACCGGCUAACUCCGUGCCAGCAGCCGCGGUAAUACGGAGGGUGCAAGCGUUAAUCGGAAUUACUGGGCGUAAAGCGCACGCAGGCGGUCUGUCAAGUCGGAUGUGAAAUCCCCGGGCUCAACCUGGGAACUGCAUCCGAAACUGGCAGGCUAGAGUCUUGUAGAGGGGGGUAGAAUUCCAGGUGUAGCGGUGAAAUGCGUAGAGAUCUGGAGGAAUACCGGUG
rnacentral:rRNA from 1 species